rnacentral:rRNA from 1 species
GAUGAACGCUGGCGGCGUGCCUAAUACAUGCGAGUCGAACGAGGUGCUUUUGUAGCAAUACGAGAGUAUCCUAGUGGCGAACGGGUGAGUAACGCGUUGGUGACCUACCCCAAAGUGUGGAAUAACAGUCCGAAAGGAUUGCUAAUACCGCAUGUGGUUAUCGGGUUUAGAAACUGAUAACUAAAGGAGCAAUUCGCUUUGGGAGGGACCUGCGCCCCAUCAGCUAGUUGGUGAGGUAAUGGCUCACCAAGGCUACGACGGGUAGGGGACCUGAGAGGGUGACCCCCCACAAUGGAACUGAAACACGGUCCAUACACCUACGGGUGGCAGCAGUAGGGAAUAUUGCACAAUGGGCGAAAGCCUGAUGCAGCAACGCCGCGUGCACGAUGAAGGCCUUCGGGUCGUAAAGUGCUUUUCUGGGAGAUGAGAAAGGACAGUAUCCCAGGAAUAAGUCUCGGCUAACUACGUG